rnacentral:rRNA from 1 species
UACAGAGGGUGCGAGCGUUGUCCGGAAUCACUGGGCGUAAAGGGCGCGUAGGCGGCUUGAUAAGCGUGCGGUGAAAGCCCGGGGCUCAACCCCGGGUCGGCCGUGCGAACUGUCGAGCUGGAGCACUGUAGAGGCAGGUGGAAUUCCGGGUGUAGCGGUGGAAUGCGUAGAGAUCCGGAAGAACACCGGUGGCGAAGGCGGCCUGCUGGGCAGUGGCUGACGCUGAGGCGACGAC